rnacentral:rRNA from 1 species
GGGUUGUGAGGUUAAGCGACUAAGCGUACACGGUGGAUGCCCUGGCAGUCAGAGGCGAUGAAGGACGUGCUAAUCUGCGAUAAGCGUCGGUAAGGUGAUAUGAACCGUUAUAACCGGCGAUUUCCGAAUGGGGAAACCCAGUGUGUUUCGACACACUAUCAUUAACUGAAUCCAUAGGUUAAUGAGGCGAACCGGGGGAACUGAAACAUCUAAGUACCCCGAGGAAAAGAAAUCAACCGAGAUUCCCCCAGUAGCGGCGAGCGAACGGGGAGGAGCCCAGAGCCUGAAUCAGUGUGUGUGUUAGUGGAAGCGUCUGGAAAGGCGCGCGAUACAGGGUGACAGCCCCGUACACAAAAAUGCACAUACUGUGAGCUCGAUGAGUAGGGCGGGACACGUGGUAUCCUGUCUGAAUAUGGGGGGACCAUCCUCCAAGGCUAAAUACUCCUGACUGACCGAUAGUGAACCAGUACCGUGAGGGAAAGGCGAAAAGAACCCCGGCGAGGGGAGUGAAAAAGAACCUGAAACCGUGUACGUACAAGCAGUGGGAGCCUCUUUAUGGGGUGACUGCGUACCUUUUGUAUAAUGGGUCAGCGACUUAUAUUCUGUAGCAAGGUUAACCGAAUAGGGGAGCCGAAGGGAAACCGAGUCUUAACUGGGCGUUAAGUUGCAGGGUAUAGACCCGAAACCCGGUGAUCUAGCCAUGGGCAGGUUGAAGGUUGGGUAACACUAACUGGAGGACCGAACCGACUAAUGUUGAAAAAUUAGCGGAUGACUUGUGGCUGGGGGUGAAAGGCCAAUCAAACCGGGAGAUAGCUGGUUCUCCCCGAAAGCUAUUUAGGUAGCGCCUCGUGAAUUCAUCUCCGGGGGUAGAGCACUGUUUCGGCAAGGGGGUCAUCCCGACUUACCAACCCGAUGCAAACUGCGAAUACCGGAGAAUGUUAUCACGGGAGACACACGGCGGGUGCUAACGUCCGUCGUGAAGAGGGAAACAACCCAGACCGCCAGCUAAGGUCCCAAAGUCAUGGUUAAGUGGGAAACGAUGUGGGAAGGCCCAGACAGCCAGGAUGUUGGCUUAGAAGCAGCCAUCAUUUAAAGAAAGCGUAAUAGCUCACUGGUCGAGUCGGCCUGCGCGGAAGAUGUAACGGGGCUAAACCAUGCACCGAAGCUGCGGCAGCGACGCUUAUGCGUUGUUGGGUAGGGGAGCGUUCUGUAAGCCUGCGAAGGUGUGCUGUGAGGCAUGCUGGAGGUAUCAGAAGUGCGAAUGCUGACAUAAGUAACGAUAAAGCGGGUGAAAAGCCCGCUCGCCGGAAGACCAAGGGUUCCUGUCCAACGUUAAUCGGGGCAGGGUGAGUCGACCCCUAAGGCGAGGCCGAAAGGCGUAGUCGAUGGGAAACAGGUUAAUAUUCCUGUACUUGGUGUUACUGCGAAGGGGGGACGGAGAAGGCUAUGUUGGCCGGGCGACGGUUGUCCCGGUUUAAGCGUGUAGGCUGGUUUUCCAGGCAAAUCCGGAAAAUCAAGGCUGAGGCGUGAUGACGAGGCACUACGGUGCUGAAGCAACAAAUGCCCUGCUUCCAGGAAAAGCCUCUAAGCAUCAGGUAACAUCAAAUCGUACCCCAAACCGACACAGGUGGUCAGGUAGAGAAUACCAAGGCGCUUGAGAGAACUCGGGUGAAGGAACUAGGCAAAAUGGUGCCGUAACUUCGGGAGAAGGCACGCUGAUAUGUAGGUGAAGCGACUUGCUCGUGGAGCUGAAAUCAGUCGAAGAUACCAGCUGGCUGCAACUGUUUAUUAAAAACACAGCACUGUGCAAACACGAAAGUGGACGUAUACGGUGUGACGCCUGCCCGGUGCCGGAAGGUUAAUUGAUGGGGUUAGCGGUAACGCGAAGCUCUUGAUCGAAGCCCCGGUAAACGGCGGCCGUAACUAUAACGGUCCUAAGGUAGCGAAAUUCCUUGUCGGGUAAGUUCCGACCUGCACGAAUGGCGUAAUGAUGGCCAGGCUGUCUCCACCCGAGACUCAGUGAAAUUGAACUCGCUGUGAAGAUGCAGUGUACCCGCGGCAAGACGGAAAGACCCCGUGAACCUUUACUAUAGCUUGACACUGAACAUUGAGCCUUGAUGUGUAGGAUAGGUGGGAGGCUUUGAAGUGUGGACGCCAGUCUGCAUGGAGCCGACCUUGAAAUACCACCCUUUAAUGUUUGAUGUUCUAACGUUGGCCCCUGAUCGGGGUUGCGGACAGUGUCUGGUGGGUAGUUUGACUGGGGCGGUCUCCUCCUAAAGAGUAACGGAGGAGCACGAAGGUUGGCUAAUCCUGGUCGGACAUCAGGAGGUUAGUGCAAUGGCAUAAGCCAGCUUGACUGCGAGCGUGACGGCGCGAGCAGGUGCGAAAGCAGGUCAUAGUGAUCCGGUGGUUCUGAAUGGAAGGGCCAUCGCUCAACGGAUAAAAGGUACUCCGGGGAUAACAGGCUGAUACCGCCCAAGAGUUCAUAUCGACGGCGGUGUUUGGCACCUCGAUGUCGGCUCAUCACAUCCUGGGGCUGAAGUAGGUCCCAAGGGUAUGGCUGUUCGCCAUUUAAAGUGGUACGCGAGCUGGGUUUAGAACGUCGUGAGACAGUUCGGUCCCUAUCUGCCGUGGGCGCUGGAGAACUGAGGGGGGCUGCUCCUAGUACGAGAGGACCGGAGUGGACGCAUCACUGGUGUUCGGGUUGUCAUGCCAAUGGCACUGCCCGGUAGCUAAAUGCGGAAGAGAUAAGUGCUGAAAGCAUCUAAGCACGAAACUUGCCCCGAGAUGAGUUCUCCCUGAGACUUAGAGUCUCCUGAAGGAACGUUGAAGACGACGACGUUGAUAGGCCGGGUGUGUAAGCGCAGCGAUGCGUUGAGCUAACCGGUACUAAUGAACCGUGAGGCUUAACCUUACAACGCCGAAG